UACGAAGGGGGCUAGCGUUGUUCGGAAUUACUGGGCGUAAAGCGCACGUAGGCGGAUUUGUUAGUCAGGGGUGAAAUCCCGGGGCUCAACCUCGGAACUGCCUUUGAUACUGCAAGUCUCGAGUCCGGAAGAGGUGAGUGGAAUUCCUAGUGUAGAGGUGAAAUUCGUAGAUAUUCGGAAGAACACCAGUGGCGAAGGCGGCUCACUGGCCCGGUACUGACGCUGAGGUGCGAAAGCGUGGGGAGCAAACAGG
rnacentral:rRNA from 1 species